rnacentral:lncRNA from 1 species
GGCUUUAGUUAUUUUUUAAUUUUUUAAUUAGAUACUAUAGCCGACGAAUACGUUAGGGUAUUCGUCGGCUAAACCCUAAAAUUUUACUACUACCUACUAUAGCCCUAUAUUCGGUGGUUCUUUUCCGUAAAAUUUUUUAGACGACUUCUUGCGUCUCAUCGGUUUGAAACUAUUUUCGGUUGGAAGUCCGGCCAAAAUACGUAAUUUAGACGGUCGAACGACCUUUUCCGUGCGUUUAGGGGUUUGACUUACGAGAUUGACCGUCCGGAUCGAGCCCUUAUUCUUUUCGGAUCAAGUUGAAUUUUUUCCCAUACAUGUAUUUUGUCAUGAUGGUCAAAUCUGACGGUCGGAUUUCUGUUUCUCAAGUUUGAUCAUCACAAUCAGAACAUGCAUACUAAUGUUGUAUAACUUGUUUACCAAGUGUUAUGUAAAUGUUCCGUUUCAAAAACAAACUAUACGUAAAACCUUCAAACGCCAAAAAGUCAUGAAAUAAGAUAUGACGAGAAUGUUGAAAUACAUCCACGGUUGAAAAAUCACACUAUUCCGGUAAAUAUUCGGUGCCGAUAGUUGCGGUCAAUGCAAUUUUUCAUUCUUUCCCCCUAUGAGUAGCCCUAUAUUCGGUGGUUAUUUUGCGUAAAAGUUUUAUACGACUUGUUGCGUGUCAUCGAUUUAAAACUAUUUUCAGUUGAAGGUCCAGCCAAAAUACGUAAUUUAGACAGUCGAACGACCUUUUCCGUGCUUUUAGGGGUUUUACUUGGGAGAUUGACCGUCCGGAUCGAGCCCUUAUUCUUGUCGGAUCAAGUUGAAUUUUUGGUCAUACAUGUAUUUUGUCAUGGUGGUCAGAUCUGAUGGUCGGAUUUCUUUUUCUCAAGUUUGAUCAUCACAAUCACAAUGUGCCAAAUGUAUAAAAAUACUUUAGCCGACGAAUUUCAAAGGUUUAGCCGACGAAUUUCGAAAGUUUAGCCGACGAAUUUCAAAGUUUUAGCCGACGAAUUUAGAAGGUUUAGCUGACGAAUUGAUUCUUAGCCGACGAGAUUCUUAGCUUUAGCCGACGAAAUAAUUAUUUCGUCGGCUAAAGUUUUCGGGUUUAACUGCUCGACAGCAGAAAAACCCUAGCCUCCUCCCUCCUCCCUCCCUCUCCCGUCUCCGCCUCCUCCCUCCUCCUCCCUCCCUCUCCCGGUCUCUGCCCCCUCCCUCCUCCCUCUCCAUCUCCCGGUCUCCUCCCUCCUCC